GUCGAACGGGAUCCACGCCAUGAAGUUUUCGGGUGGAUUGGUGUGGUGAGAGUGGCGAACGGGCGAGUAACGCGUGAGCAACCUACCUCGUACUGGGGGAUAACGUCGGGAAACCGGCGCUAAUACCGCAUAAGACUACGAUGUCGCAUGGCAAUGUAGUCAAAGCUCCGGCGGUACGAGACGGGCUCGCGUCCGAUUAGCUAGUUGGUAGGGUAACGGCCUACCAAGGCGACGAUCGGUAGCCGGACUGAGAGGUCGGCCGGCCGCAUUGGGACUGAGACACGGCCCAGACUCCUACGGGAGGCAGCAGUGGGGAAUAUUGCGCAAUGGGGGAAACCCUGACGCAGCGACGCCGCGUGAAGGAAGAAGGCCUUCGGGUUGUAAACUUCUUUGAUCGGGGACGAAGGAAGACGGUACCCGAGGAACAAGCCACGGCUAACUACGUGCCAGCAGCCGCGGUAAUACGUAGGUGGCGAGCGUUGUCCGGAAUUACUGGGCGUAAAGGGCGUGUAGGCGGGGGGACAAGUCAGAUGUGAAAUACCGCAGCUUAACUGCGGGGCUGCAUCUGAAACUGUUCUUCUUGAGUGUCGGAGAGGAAAGUGGAAUUCCCAGUGUAGCGGUGAAAUGCGUA
rnacentral:rRNA from 1 species